CUCCUGCUUCUCAUCCUCCUGCUCGCCAGUCUUUGAUUCGAUCUUAUCUGUAGCUUUAUGGGAAGUAAACUUACCAUCUUUGCUUCUUUUGUGGAUUUUCGAAAUGAUUCCAUGAAUACAUAGGAGGAUUCCUUGAAGUUUUGCUUGAUCUUAGUGGGCGGAUACUAAUAUUUUGACUCUUGUUCUUCCCAUUAAGUUAGCUUUCAUUCGUUUUUGGUAUGGAGAUUUGAUGCGUGCAGCUACUGACUUUGAAGGUUCUUUUCAGAAUUUGAAUUGUUGAUUUGACUCCGCUUUUUGGAUGUUUUGUUCGUGUCGAAGUUGUAGGUUUCUUUUUGGGCCUUCUGGUUCUUGUCUUUGUUUUGACAAUUGGUAGUUCGUGACGUCUUAGGCUUGAGUCGCUUGACGACUACAUGAUCUAUAAAAGUUAGGUUUUGCAGGGGCUAUUUCGGCUCAAUGAUUAUGGAUUCCGGUCUUCAGGAAUUUUCCGGCAUGAUGAGCGGAUGGAGCUAUGAUGAUUCGUUCUCUGAUCAAAACAUUUUUCGGGCUAUUGGAUUGCGAGAACCGCAGCCUUAUCUAGGUUUUAGUAACAGUGGGGAAUUGCCCCAAAUGUCCUCUGACACCAACACAAGGGCCAAUCCCACAUCCAGCACCAGCACGAUCACUGAGGGAGAUAGCCCGGAAGAUGGUGAUAUCUUCUGUUCAGACAUGUCCCUUAGCUAUAUUAGCAAAAUUCUCAUGGAGGAAGAUAUAGAUGGAAAGGUCAGCACUUAUAAGGAAGAGUCAGCCCUUAGAGAUGCAGAGAAACCCUUCUAUGACAUCCUUAGCCAGAAGUACCCACCAUCUCCAGAGCGAUCACCGCUUGAAGUUCAGCAAAGCUUGGCGAAUCUCGAUUUUACCGACAAUCAUGAAAAUGGUAACUUAUGUGCUAGCAGUGGUACAAGUAAAGCUAAUGGCUUUGUUGGCAAUAACUUUAUCUCUGACUCCAACAAUGGCCACGAUUUGAGUUCACGGUCUAGUUCCUUUAGUAAUUUGUUUCCAUCUCCAUCAAACUCUUCAAACAGUAUCAGCAGCGAAAAGAAACCUGUUGUUGAUGUUUCCAUGUCUCCCAGUCUGUUCUUCAAAAGCAUGCCAGCGUGGCAUUUCAAGAAAGGAAUUGAAGAAGCGAGCAAGUUCCUUCCUAGUAAUGAUAAAUUGGCAAUCAAUUUAGAUGUUUCAUCAUCACAGCUACUGAGAGUAGAUAGGCCAUUCAUUACAAAGGCAAAGCUGGAGGAUAGAGAAUCUCUCUUAUAUGGAUUUAGAGGUCGUAAAAAUCCAAGCCGAGAUGACCUGGAUUUGGUAGAGGGAAGGAGCAAUAAGCAGUCAGCUGUUUUCUAUGAGGGAGAGGUGAGGUCAGAAAUGUUUGACAUGAUUUUGCUUUGCCAGAGAGGCAAAUGCCAAAAGAACAUAUCCGCCCUAAGGGAAGAAAAGCAGAAUGAAGCUAUCAAAAUUGCACAGAAUUGUUCCUCAAAAGGAUCAAAUGGUGGCAAGACACAAGGAAAGAAACAAACUAAGAAAGAAGUGGUGGAUCUUAGAACUCUUCUUAUACAUUGUGCUCAAGCAGUGGCAGCAGAUGACCGCCAAACUGCUGAUGAACUAUUGAAGCAGAUUAGACAACAUUCUUCCCCGGAUGGAGAUGCAACUCAGAGGCUGGCAUAUUGCUUUGCAGAUGGUCUUGAGGCCCGAUUGGCUGGUACUGGAAGUCAGAUUUAUCAUGCCCUUGUGGCUAAAAGGGCAACUGCCACAGAUAUAUUGAAGGCCUAUCAUCUAUAUCUUGCUGCAUGUCCUUUCAAGAGAAUUUCAUACUUUUUUGCUAAUCAGACAAUCCUUAAUGUGGCAGAUAAGGCAUCCAAAGUGCACAUCAUAGACUUUGGUAUUUAUUUUGGAUUUCAAUGGCCAUGCCUUAUCCAGCGUCUCUCAACUAGGGAUGGAGGCCCUCCAAGUCUGCGGAUAACUGGUAUUGAUGUACCGCAACCAGGUUUCCGUCCCACAGAGAGAAUAGAAGAGACAGGGUGUAGGUUAGCAGAUUAUGCCAAGAGUUUUAAUAUCCCUUUUGAGUAUCAGGCUAUCGCUUCUAAAUGGGAAAAUAUUCAGGUCGAGGAUCUUCACAUUAAUAAAGAUGAGGUUGUGGUUGUCAAUUGCCUAUACCGCUUCAGAAAUCUGGUCGAUGAGACUGUGGUUGUAGACAGCCCUAGGAAUAGGGUCCUGAACAUGAUAAGGAGGAUGAACCCUGAUGUUUUUAUACAUGGAGUAGUGAAUGGGUCCUACAGUGCUCCUUUCUUCGUCACACGCUUCCGAGAAGCUCUGUUCCACUAUUCUGCUUUAUUCGACAUGCUCGAAACAAAUGUAGCACGCCACAAUGAACAGAGGCUGUUGAUUGAGAGGGAUCUCUUUGGCAGAGAUGCUCUUAAUGUUAUAGCAUGUGAAGGAUCAGAAAGGGUCGAAAGACCCGAGACUUAUAAGCAGUGGCAGGCUAGAAAUCUCAGGGCUGGGUUUGAACAGCUCCCACUCAACCCUGACAUUGUGAAGAAAGCGAAGCAUAAGGUGAAAACCAACUACCACAGGGAUUUUGUUAUCGGUGAAGAUAAUCGGUGGUUGAUUCAGGGGUGGAAGGGAAGAAUCAUUUAUGCAAUAUCGACAUGGAAGCCCAAUGAUGCUUAGUAUCAGAAUCUUAAGAUAUUCAUGAAGCUGUACAUGCAUUAAUCAGGAGAUUAAGUUAGUUUUGCACAUACAAGCAAUUCAACAUGAUUCAUCUCAACGAACAUAUGACCAGAUUCUCUGACUUACAAAACCUAAUGAGCAACUUGGAGCUGCUGAUAACUGAGAGGGAGGACACAGUUGGAUUGUUUCUAGAUAACAGACAAAGGAUAUGCUAAUUAUGACCACCAGCGAUUUGCAAGCUGUUGUUUACACAUGGUGGAUCUCUCAUUGUUUAAAUUAAGCAUUCAUGCCCAUGGUUGUAACAGAGGACACGCACUAAUAACUAAUCCCUGUAUUUAAUUAUUGAUCCUAGUGCACUUUGCUGGCUUUGCUUGUCGUUGAAUAA